GGAGAACCUGCGGCUGGAUCACCUCCUUUCUAUGGAGAAAUCUAGCAAACAUGGCGUUUGACUAGUACAAAGAUGCAAAGCAUCUAUAAAAAUUACAACUUGCUCAAAGGUUACUUAAUGAGUAUUGAUUCUGUUCAAUUUUGAAAGACUAAGUCUUUCAAAAGCGAAGUCUAAUAAUGACAAGUACGAGGAAGCAAAAAAAUUAUGAAAUGAGUAGUACUAAUGUACAUGAAUGAAUAAUUUUUGAAGUUGACGAAGUAAUUGGCUGUAGUAGGCAAGCGAAAAUGUUCUUUGAAAAUUGCACAUAGAUUAAUGUAUAUAAUACAACAAAGCCAAGAAUAAUAUUCUUUGUGAAUGAUUAAUAUAACCAGUUUUGUAUAUCAAAACUUAAAAAGGUCAAGCUACAAAGGGCGCAUGGUGAAUGCCUUGGCAUCAGGAGCCGAUGAAGGACGUGAUAAGCUGCGAUAAGCUUCGGGUAGGCGCACAUAGCCAGAGAUCCGGAGAUUU
rnacentral:misc_RNA from 1 species